AAAUGAAAAGUGCUAUAUAAAAAAAAAAUAAUAAAAAGUAAAUUUCAUAAUAAAAAAAAAAAAAAAAAAAAAUGCAUCAUGUUAUUUUUAAAUUUAAUUUUGUACACAAGAAAAGACAUUUAUUAAAAAAUGCAAAAUGUUUUAUAUUUUUAAAUAAAACGAAUAUAAUAACAACGAAUGUAAUAAAUAAAAAAAAUAGUAGUUUACACUGGGAAAAUAAUAGCUUGCACUCAGAAAACAAUAGCUUGCAAGUAGAAGCUAGGAAAAAAGAAGAAGAUGAUAAAUUAAUUUUACAUAAAUCUAGCUAUAUAAUAAAUAGUUGUAAAAUAAAUGAAAUAAUAGAUAUUUUAAAUUUAUGUAUUAAAUUGAAAUAUAAUGAUAAUGAACUAUUAAAAAAUAUUUCUUUAAAUUUAUUAAUGAAUAAAGAUAAUUUAAGAUAUACUGAUAUUACGGUUCUUGUAAAAAAAUUUUCAAUAAUUAAAUGCAAAAAUUAUUUUUUAUUUUGUUAUUUUAAAGAUGUAUUGUUAGAUAAUGUGCACUUACUUAGUUAUGAUGAAUUAAUAGAUGUUUAUUUUUCUUUUACUAAUUUAAAUUAUUUUCAUUACAACUUUUUUUUUUUAAUUGAAAAAAAAAUAUUUCAUAAUUUUCAUAAACUAGAUUUAAAAAAAUUAAUAUAUUUAGUCCAAUGUUUUAAUAAAAAAAAAAUAAUAACAAAAAAUUGUUUAACCAUAUUAUUAUAUAGUAUAUCUAAAAAUAUAAAUAAUUUAAAUACAUUCCAACUUUCUGUUGUUUUUCGUUUUUUUAAAAAUUUUAAUAUAAAUAAUAGUAUACUCAUAAAUUCGUUAAUUCACAAUUUUAAGCAGAACAUUAGUUUGAAUGAAGAUGUAAAAAACAUCCCACUUUUUUAUACUUUUUUAUCAUAUGUAUAUACAAAAUGUAAAAAAAAUUAUGCGUAUUAUGAAAAAGAGAAGGAAUUAAUUAAAUUAUUAAAACAUUUUAGAUUGUUCGAUGAGGAACAAUAUAGGGGAGUAGCACAUGAUAAGGGAUGCCAUAAUACAGGGGAACAGAAUUUGAAUGGUUCUUUUUUUAACGUGAGUAAUGAGAUUGUAAAAAAAGAAGUAACAGAAAAUGAUGACACUAGAGAAAAAAUAUUAAUAGAAAAAACAGAUUCAUUAGUAAAAACUGAAUUGGGUAGCAUUGAUAAUGACAACUGUAAUGAUAAUAGUAAUUACAUAAAAAACAAACUGAUUCGAUUUGAAAAUAGUUGUUUAUAUAAAAGUGCUGAAUUAGAAAACUUAAAGGAACAAACUAAUAUGUUAAAAAAAGAUGGAUUAAAUUUUAAUUUAAUUUAUUCAAUCAAUAAUAUAUGUAAAAAUAUGGAAAUGAUCACAAAAAAACAAUUAAAACAUAUGUCCAUCGAAUAUUUAUGUUUAUUAUCAUGUUGUAUAUCCAAUAUUAGUAAAAACAAGUUUCUUUUAGAAAAAAUAGCUGAGGAAGUAGGUAAGCAAUCAACUAAAUUAACAUCUUCAUUAAUAAGUUUUUUAUUACUAUCUUUUAGUAAAGCUAAUCAUAAGCAUGGUAGUUUGAUUUAUUAUUCUUUACAAUUUUUUUAUAAAUAUUAUAAUUUUUUUAGUAUAAAUGAAGUAGGUUUAUUAUGUAAGGGGUUAUCUAACUUUGCUAUGAAAGAAAACGAAUUAAUUAAUGUGUUGAAUGAGUAUAUUUUGAGGAAUAUAGAUACUUUUUAUGCAUGUAAUGUGUAUGAACAAGGAGAAAAAGUGCGGGACAGUAGUAGUAAUAGUAGUAGUAAUGAAAAAGAUGAGGGUUACUCGAGUGCAAAGUGUUUAAAUUUAUUUGAUGGUACAAGUAAUAAAGAACAAAUAGCAAACGCAUAUGACCUAAUAGAAAAAAAAAUUGGUAAGAAUAUGGAACGACGCAAUUAUGAAGAUACUUUUGUAAAUGCAAAUAGAAUAUAUAUAGAUAAAGAAAAUGAAGAGAAUGAAUAUAAUAAGAAGGAUAGUAAAGAUAGUAAAAAUAAUGUGACAUCUUAUUAUAAUAAAUAUAUGAAUUUUAGUUAUAUUGAUUACGAAAGUAUAAAAAAUAAUAUGUAUUCCACCAAUAAUUUAUAUAACAUAAAAGCAAAUAAAUCUAUAUAUAUAAAUAAUAUUAUAUACAUAUUAGAAUAUUAUGCUUUUAAUAUGGUAAGUGUAAAUACAAUUUUAGAUUGCUUUUGUACUAUUUUUUUAAAAAGUAAUUUAAAUUAUAUUUUAUAUUCAAGAAUAUUUCAUUCCUUUUAUUUAUUACAAUAUAAAAAAAAAAAAGUUUAUGAAUUAAUUCGAAAAUUUAAUAAAUAUCAACCUUUAAAUCAAGUAAUGUACAAAGAAAAACAUAUAAUAAAUUUACUGCAAUCAUUGUUGUACUUUUAUGAAAGCAAUAAAGAAGAAGUUGGUAAAAUGGGCAGUAAUGGUAGUGGUAGUGGUAGUGGUAGUAGUAGUAGUAGUAGUGGUAGUGAUAGUAGUAGUAGUAACAACCAUGGCAACAACAGUUUUGAUAUUUAUUUUUAUGUUUUGCCAAAAAACUAUUUAUCUUUCCUUUUUAAUUUUCCUAAAUAUUAUUUAACUUUUCUCUUCAUUAAAAAUAAUAAUUAUGUUUUAAGCGACUUUUUAAUAAAUAUACGAGAUAUAUCGUUAGAUCAUACCGAAUAUAUUUAUCUGCACAAGCCGCACAAUCUAUUAUAUUAAAAAAAAAGUGCACACAUGUAUACUUGCAGGUUUGUGUGUAUAUGUUGAGUACCGAGUUCUUAUCGUUUCAAAAAUGUUACAUAUGAAUGUAUAUUAUAUAUAUAUUAAAAAAAAAAUGGGCAUUUUUUAUAAAAAAAAAAAAAAAAAAAA
rnacentral:lncRNA from 1 species